CCAUCUAUCUGUUGAUUAUGUGGCGC
rnacentral:piRNA from 1 species